GCCGGGGCGUGUUGGACCAGCGGCUCUUCAAGGCUCAGAGGAGGCGAGACCGCUGUUCGCAUCCGCUGCGCCUUUCCGCUGGAGUAUGAAAUCUACUUCCAAGAUUCGCGCCUUAGUGAACAUUCCGAGGGAAAGCCCGAGGUCGCGAUGGAUCUUGACGGCCGCAAUGAAAAGAGCAGAGGGGAAGAACUUCUUGAAAAGGGACAAAAAAAGUGCAUCCUCAAAUCUGUAUUUCAUACUUCCUGCACAAUUUGGACAGAGUUUGAAACAGACAUAUCCAAGAUGUGGGACAUUCUAUAAGACACCCGUUUUUGUUCCUGUAAAAAGUCAAUGUUUGAU